ACGGAGGGUGCGAGCGUUAAUCGGAAUCACUGGGCGUAAAGCGCGCGUAGGCGGCGUUGUAAGUCAGGGGUGAAAGCCCACGGCUCAACCGGGGAACUGCAUUUGAUACUGCAGAGCUUGAGUUCGGGAGAGGGUGGUGGAAUUCCAGGUGUAGGAGUGAAAUCCGUAGAGAUCUGGAGGAACACCAGUGGCGAAGGCGGCCACCUGGCCCGAUACUGACGCUGAGGUGCGAAAGCGUGGGUAGCAAACAG
rnacentral:rRNA from 1 species